CUGGCCAACAAGGGCUUCCCCUCAGACUGGAGUCUGGCCUGGAAGGUGGACGGCAGCAGCAGCAGCAGCAGCAGCUGGGAGGAGAGCAGGAGCCCCGGGGUGCUGGAGAAGGACGGCCGCUACAGCUGGAGCAGCACCCUGAGGCUCCCUGCAGACCAGUGGAGGAAGGUGGGCUCUGUGACCUGUGAGGCCACCCAGGGCUCCCAGGCUCUGGUCUCAGAGACACUGAGGAGAGACCAGUGUUCCCAGUCCUGACCUGACUCACUGGGACUCUGCUACUGGUGUUACUGGUCUCUCAUUACACAUUUCAAC